UAACAUUGACAGCUUAUUUGAUUUUUUAUUAUUGCUUAUUUCUUAUUUUCUUAUGGUAGAAAUGUUUUGUAGAUAGCACUGGACACAGAUGGGCGAUUAUUGAAAAACCCAACACCUAGAAGGCAAGAUAAUUCUUUUGGCGGUUGUGUAACCUUGGUGAACUCGUUUUUGGUACGCUAAAUGCUCGCACUAAACUAAAGGGUACAAAGUGUAAAGGAUUGGCUACCUUUAUAAAUGGGUUGUGUGCGCAUUUUGUAUAUUUAUAGGCUUUGAUGAAUCACAUUAAUAUACGUAAAAUUGUAAAAAUGUCUGGCUUUGAUGAAUCACAUUAAUAUACGUAAAAUUGUAAAAAUGUCUUCAUCUUUCAUAGGUGUUGCAUGAGAAGCGAGUGCGAGGAAAGUCUUAAUUGUUUUUUGGGUUCAGAUUAGUCAGGCCGGAUUUGCAAUUGUUGUUCUAACAUAAUCCACACUGAGUGAAUGACGAAAAAGAAAAAAAAAGAUGAAAUUUCUAAGCAAUUGGUUUAGACGCCUCCAAGUGAGGUUCAUGACAUAUCCAUGAUGUUUCCAAUUGAUGCUGCAAGAUCUGUAAUUGGGCAGAUCAGAGAUUUGAUUCUAGGUUUUGUUUCUUCAACAAUGUUCACGUAAAAGUUUCGUCUUUUUAUGUAAAUUUAACUUAAUGUUGUUUUGAAUAUAUUUGCUUUCUGCGGAAUUUGUAUUGUAGUUAU
rnacentral:lncRNA from 1 species